UCGCACCUACCGAUUGAAUGGUCCGGUGAAAUCUUCGGACUGCGGCAAUGGUACGGUUUCCGUAACGCUGCUGUGGAAAGUUGCUUAAACCUUACCAUUUAGAGGAAGGUG
rnacentral:rRNA from 1 species